rnacentral:rRNA from 1 species
GAUGAACGCUGGCGGCGUGCUUAACACAUGCAAGUCGAACGAAGCACUCAAGAUUGAUUCUUCGGAUGACGUCUUUUGUUACUUAGUGGCGGUUGGGUUAGUAACGCCUGGGUGACCUGCCUCACACAGCCGGAUAACAGUUACAAAUCACUGCUAUUACCGCUUAACCUGAUCGCAUCGUAUGAUCCCUACGUGAAAGAUUUAUCGGUGUGGGAUGGGCCCGCGUCGGAUUAGCUAGUUGGUGAGGUAACGGCCCACCAAGGCGACGAUCAGUAGCGGGCCUGAGAGGAUGAACGGCCACAUUGGGACUGAGACACGGCCCAGACUCCUACGGGAGGCAGCAGUGGGGAAUAUUGCACAAUGGGCGAAACCCUGAUGCAGCGACGCCGCGUGAGUGAAGAAGUAUUUAGGGAUGUAAAGCUCUAUCAGCAGGGAAGAAAAUGACAGUACCGGGCGAAGAAGCCCCGGCUAACUACGUG